AGUGAACGCUGGCGGUAGGCCUAACACAUGCAAGUCGAACGGCAGCACAGGAGAGCUUGCUCUCUGGGUGGCGAGUGGCGGACGGGUGAGGAAUACAUCGGAAUCUACUCUGUCGUGGGGGAUAACGUAGGGAAACUUACGCUAAUACCGCAUACGACCUACGGGUGAAAGCAGGGGAUCUUCGGACCUUGCGCGAUUGAAUGAGCCGAUGUCGGAGUAGCUAGUUGGCGGGGUAAAGGCCCACCAAGGCGACGAUCCGUAGCUGGUCUGAGAGGAUGAUCAGCCACACUGGAACUGAGACACGGUCCAGACUCCUACGGGAGGCAGCAGUGGGGAGUAUUGGACAAUGGGCGCAAGCCUGAUCCAGCCAUACCGCGUGGGUGAAGAAGGCCUUCGGGUUGUAAAGCCCUUUUGUUGGGAAAGAAAUCCAGCUGGCUAAUACCCGGUUGGGAUGACGGUACCCAAAGAAUAAGCACCGGCUAACUUCGUGCCAGCCGCCGCCUAA
rnacentral:rRNA from 1 species